rnacentral:rRNA from 1 species
UACAGAGGUCUCAAGCGUUGUUCGGAUUCAUUGGGCGUAAAGGGUGCGUAGGUGGCGCGCUAAGUCAGGUGUGAAAUUUCGGAGCUUAACUCCGAAACUGCAUUCGAUACUGCCGUGCUUGAGGACUGGAGAGGAGACUGGAAUUUACGGUGUAGCGGUGAAAUGCGUAGAUAUCGUAAGGAAGACCAGUGGCGAAGGCGGGUCUCUGGACAGUUCCUGACGCUGAGGCACGAAGGCCAGGGGAGCAAACGGG